CACAAGCGGAGGAACAUGUGGUUUAAUUCGAUGAUACGCGAGGAACCUUACCUGGGCUUAAAUGGGAGUGACAGCUGUCGAAAGAUGGUUUUCUUCGGACACUCUUCAAGGUGCUGCAUGGUUGUCGUCAGCUCGUGCCGUGAGGUGUCGGGUUAAGUCCCAUAACGAGCGCAACCCCUGCCCUUAGUUACCAGCGGGUAAUGCCGGGAACUCUAAGGGGACUGCCUUGGUUAACGAGGAGGAAGGUGGGGACGACGUCAAGUCAUCACGGCCUUUAUGUCCAGGGCCACACACGUGCUACAAUGGCCGGCACAAAGGGUUGCCAACCCGCGAGGGGGAGCCAAUCCCAAAAAUCCGGCCUCAGUUCGGAUUGCAGUCUGCAACUCGACUGCAUGAAGUCGGAAUCGCUAGUAAUCGCGAAUCAGCAGGUCGCGGUGAAUACGUUCCCGGGCCUU
rnacentral:rRNA from 1 species